CCUACGGGAGGCAGCAGGGAGGAAUAUUGGUCAAUGGACGAGAGUCUGAACCAGCCAAGUAGCGUGAAGGAUGACUGCCCUAUGGGUGGUAAACUUCGUUUAUAAAGGAAUAAAACGAGGCACGUGUGCCUUUUUGCAUGUACUUUAUGAAUAAGGAUCGGCUAACUCCGUGCCAGCAGCCGCGGUAAUACGGAGGAUCCGAGCGUUAUCCGGAUUUAUUGGGUUUAAAGGGAGCGUAGAUGGGUUGUUAAGUCAGUUGUGAAAGUUUGCGGCUCAACCGUAAAAUUGCAAUUGAUACGGGCAGUCUUGAGUACAGUUGAGGUAGGCGGAAUUCGUGGUGUAGCGGUGAAAUGCUUAGAUAUCACGAAGAACCCCGAUUGCGAAGGCAGCUUACUAAACUGUGACUGACAUUGAUGCUCGAAAGUGUGGGUAUCAAACAGGAUUAGAUACCCCAGUAGUC
rnacentral:rRNA from 1 species